rnacentral:tRNA from 1 species
GGGCGCGUAGCUCAGGGGUAGAGCACUCGCCUUACAAGCGAGAAGUCGGCGGUUCGAAACCGUCCGCGCCCACCA